GAGUGCGUGCCGCUCCGCCGACCGAAGAGGCUGGACAUGACACCAGUGGCAUAUCACGGCCAUGGGGUCUCAGCAUUCCGCUGCUGCUCGCCCCUCCUCCUGCAGGCGAAAGCAAGAAGAUGACAGGGACGGUUUGCUGGCUGAACGAGAGCAGGAAGAAGCCAUUGCUCAGUUCCCAUAUGUGGAAUUCACCGGGAGAGAUAGCAUCACCUGUCUCACGUGCCAGGGGACAGGCUACAUUCCAACAGGUGAUCAUGGAGGGAUGAUUCCCUGAUGAGAAUCCCAAGGUACCCUCGGAGUUCUCCUGUCUGCCCAGACAACUUUUCUUCUAGGCAGUAAUACCAUAAUAGAGACAGUGCCCUGGACAGGAGCCAGCUCAACUGACUUAAUACACUUGGGCAGUUCUGCAACUUCUCUUCCUCUCCUUAUUUUUCCAACCCUUUCUUUUCUUUACCGCCACUCUUGUUCUUUUCCUGAGGUUUGGAACAUUCAGUUCGCUCUGUGUUGUGGGAUUUGUUGACAGGCACAUUUCUUUAUCGCUGUCACAAGGAUUGGGACAGCUUUGCGGGGGAACCAUCUUGGAAGCUGCU
rnacentral:lncRNA from 1 species